GCCUCUGUGGAUGAUUAACAGAGUACUUUCGUUCUUCCGAGAUGUCCCAUGCGGAAACUUCUGGAGACCUGAACUGAAGAGGC